rnacentral:rRNA from 1 species
GACGAACGCUGGCGGCGUGCCUAAUACAUGCAAGUUGAGCGAUGAAGAUUGGUGCUUGCACCAAUUUGAAGAGCAGCGAACGGGUGAGUAACGCGUGGGGAAUCUGCCUUUGAGCGGGGGACAACAUUUGGAAACGAAUGCUAAUACCGCAUAACAACUUUAAACAUAAGUUUUAAGUUUGAAAGAUGCAAUUGCAUCACUCAAAGAUGAUCCCGCGUUGUAUUAGCUAGUUGGUGAGGUAAAGGCUCACCAAGGCGAUGAUACAUAGCCGACCUGAGAGGGUGAUCGGCCACAUUGGGACUGAGACACGGCCCAAACUCCUACGGGAGGCAGCAGUGGGGAAUCUUCGGCAAUGGACGAAAGGCUGACCGAGCAACGCCGCGUGAGUGAAGAAGGUUUUCGGAUCGUAAAACUCUGUUGGUAGAGAAGAACGUUGGUGAGAGUGGAAAGCUCAUCAAGUGACGGUAACUACCCAGAAAGGGACGGCUAACUACGUG